AGGACUGUAGUUUCAGAAGUCAUUUCUGUAGCUGGUCACUAGAGGAGAGUGAUCACACCUAUAUGACAUCAGAAGCCAUGAGGAGGAGCGGGGUGCUCACUCCUGAAUGCCAAGUGAGUGGGCAGCGCUGCCUGGGCAGGAGCUGCUUGCCAUUGAUGGCUGUUCCUGCCCCUCGGGGUGCUGGGAGGGAGAGAGCAUGAGUGGAGUGGU
rnacentral:snoRNA from 1 species